AAUCAACGCUGGCGGCGUGCCUCAGACAUGCAAGUCGAACGCGAAAGUCCCCUUCGGGGGACGAAGUAGAGUGGCGCACGGGUGAGUAACACGUAGGUAAUCUACCUUCGGAUGGGGAAGUAACAACCGGAAACGGUUGCUAAUACCGCAUAAUGCAGCGGCACCUAAUGGUGACAGUUGUUAAAGCGGGGGAUUGAAAGACCUCGCGUCUGAAGAGGAGCCUGCGGCGGAUUAGCUUGGGUUAGGGUAACGGCCUACCAAGGCGACGAUCCGUACGCCGGCCUGAGAGGGCGGGUCGGCCACACUGACACUGACAUACGGGUCAGACUCCUACGGGAGGCAG
rnacentral:rRNA from 1 species